rnacentral:rRNA from 1 species
CCUACGGGAGGCAGCAGUGAGGAAUAUUGGUCAAUGGCCGAGAGGCUGAACCAGCCAAGUCGCGUGAGGGAAGACGGCCCUACGGGUUGUAAACCUCUUUUGUCGGGGAGCAAAGCGAACCACGUGUGGUUCAUUGAGAGUACCCGAAGAAAAAGCAUCGGCUAACUCCGUGCCAGCAGCCGCGGUAAUACGGAGGAUGCGAGCGUUCUCCGGAUUUAUUGGGUUUAACGGGUGCGCAGGCGGCGGUGCAAGUUAUCGGUCAAAUUGCGGGGCUCAACCCCGUACUGCCGUUGAAACUGCAUCCCUUGAGUGCGCGAGAAGUAUGCGGAAGGCGUGGUGUAGCGGUGAAAUGCAUAGAUAGCACGCAGAACUCCGAUUGCGAAGGCAGCAUACCGGCGCGCAACUGACGCUCAUGCACGAAAGCGUGGGUAUCGAACAGGAUUAGAUACCCCUGUAGUC